AAUAUCAGUAAUUUCUAAUUAAUCAAGUUGUUGUAGGCAAAUAUUAAUCAUAAAGCGAAGGCUAAGGAAACCAAAAUAAUCUAAUUGCUGAUUAUCUAUCAAUAAGUUUACAUUGUAUUAAAUUUUUUAAACAAAAGUCCUACUAAUUUUACGCUUUUACAAAUGGAGCUACUUCUUCAACCAAUUUUUACUCAUGAAAGGUAUACAUUUCUUAGAUUUCUAUUAAGAAGCUAAAGUUUCUAACUGUAUAAUUGAACUUUUUUAUCUGUUUGUAAUUGUGGAAUUAACCGAUUUAGUAAAACUUCAAUUUCUCGUUUUUUAAAGUUCAUUCACAUAAGCAGCUUUUGAAAAAUGAUAGGAACUUAAUUAAUCUCAUCAAUUCGGUUCUUUCAAAUAACUAAUUCCAGAUAACCC